rnacentral:lncRNA from 1 species
UUUAAAACGAAAAUAUUGCUGACCUUAAAAGGGAGGAAAGAUAUGGAAAGUUAUGUGUAUUGAACCAAUUAAGAGGUAGUGUUGGGGCUGCCUAUACACAGCCCCACGUUCUGGUCAAAGACCGUUCUCUGCUCAUUUACAGGCAGUUACAGUGGAAUCUGAACCCGACUGCCUAAUGACCCCCUCUUCCAGUUCACUCACAUCGAACGAAAGCAUAACAAACACUAUUGUCCUGCAAAGCGUGAAACCUACUGUCUGUUUCAUGUACUUAUAAAAUCAGUUCCCCUGUGUAGUCCAUGUACUCCAGAUUCAGUUGUUCAAAUCAGUCCAGAACUUCAGGGGAACGCAGACUUCCACGCUAAGCUAGGGGGAGGGGAGGGAAUGGAGGAGCGCACUUUCUUCUGUUGCUUAGCACUUUACUGAGUGAAGGUCUUGGAGAGAAUGUCUUCGUGCUGCUGCUGGUGCACUGUGCCAAUUCCUACCGCAGGUGCUGGCAAAGGGGGUCGGCUUACAAGACGGAGCUGUCAUUGGAGCAAAGAAGAAAUCAAGUGACAUUUGAGUACAUCAGAGCUCUGCUCUGUUCCAUUAAGAAGGUUCUGCUACGUGGCCUGAGCUGGUCUCCAACUCAUAACCUCGAGGGAACCCAACCAUCCAGUAUAGGUAUGCACCAUCCUGGUUAGCCGAAAGUAGACUUUAUUUCACUGUAUCUUUAAAGAAAUGAGCAAGCUAGCAAAGAAAUCUGUAUGUUGUUACUCCAAGAGAAACAACAGAGAGAGAGAAAGAGAGAGAGAGAGAGAGAGCAUGAGUGAGUAUAGAUAUAAGAGUAAGCACUCACCCUGCAAGCCAGUUGUUUUUCAAACCUUGGAGAAACAAAAGACCAUGGACCCAUGUUCUGCGGCUCCUCCUGACUCCAGAUGACAUCUGCAAAAAGAAGAAGUUGACUUCAACUUUCAAUCAACCAAAAGACUGAUUGUUGCUAAUGUGUGGGACUGGGGAGAGUCCUGACUCCAGACAAUCAAGAUGAGGAGACCUGGGGAUUGAAAGACUUCUUCUUUGCAUCAUAAUUGUUUAACUCAUAUAAACUCAUAUAUCAAGAAUCUUUAGAGGAACAGCUGGGUGGAUGGUUAAGAGAUAAAUUUCCAACUUCUGUUACAUAUAUGCUUUUCCAACAUGUUAGCAUUUUUAGAAUUUUUAUUAUGUGUGGUAUGCAUGUCUGUAUAAAUGGAUGCCAUGUGUGCAGGUGUCCAAGGAGGCCAGAAGAGGGCACUGCAUCCCUUAGAGCUAUUGCAUCCCUUAGCGCUGCAGUUAGAGGUGCUUGUGAGACACCCAAUGAAGAUACUGGAAAGCACUCAACUCCUGUGCCAUCUCUCUAAACCCCUAUUGUGUUCUCGCUCGCUCGCUCACUCGCUCUCCCCUCCCCUCCCCUUUUUUUCUGGCAAGUACCUAGUUGUGUGUUCACAACAACAAUCACAAUGCAAGAUUUCUUUGAAGCCCCACAGCUCCUCGUGCUGAUUGUAGUCAGGACCCUUCCCAGGCACACACAUUAGCAACAGUCAGUCUUUUCUCUAUCUGCACAGUUUCACCUUUACCAAAAUGCCUUAUAGAUGGAGUCAGACAGUUUUGGUUACCAAAAUACAUUUGCAAUUUGUCCAAGUUGUGGACAGCAUCCGCUCAUUCCUGGGCUCAGUGCUAGCCUGCUUGCUUUUAGCAUCCUUGAGGCCCUGGAGAUUGAUACCAUGCAGUAUCUCCUUCCUAUUUUAUUGACAAGUAUGCUAUUCCACAUGCUCUUGCUACAGGGAACUGUGUUUAUUCAUUCCCUAGGUGAGGAACAGAUUGACUGUUCCCAGCUUGAGACAAUU